GGGAAAAAGGUACAAGCCUUUACAGCCCCCGCUACUGUGAAAUGGACGAAACUAUAAAGGCCACUGUUUGAAAAAAUGGGAAGGUGUAGGAAUAGGAUGAAGUUAAGUCAGGAUACC
rnacentral:ncRNA from 1 species